CCCUCUUUUUUCUUUUAUUUCCUCUUUUUAAUUUUUUCUUUUCAUCUGCUUAUGCCCUCUUCCUUCCCCCCCACCCCGCUUCUCUUCCCCUAUUUUCUCUUUCUGCUUUCCCCCCUACCUUUUUCCUCUUCUUUGUUUUUAUUCACUUUUUCCUUCUCUCUACCCCAUUCUUUCUUCCCCUCUUUCAACUCCUAGGAAGCUUUGGGUAUUCCAGUAUCCAAAUGAAAAGGAUCCUGGUAGUAUUUUCUCUUACCCUCAAUCUCCUUUUAUUUUUUCUCUAUUCCUUAUUUUUGUACAUCCUUCCUCCAUUUCUUCACUGUUUUUCUGUGUCCUUCCUUUUCAUUAUUCUUUUUUCCUUCUAUCUCCUUCUUCCAAAAGAAGAGAAAGGGAGGGGAAAGAGAGCAAGAAAAAUGAUGGGAUGAAUAUGGGGAAAAACGGAGAGUCACAGAGACAGAUGAGAAAGAUAAAGACAAAGAAAAAGCAUAGAGAAAAGGAAAUGGGGAGGAGACAGAAAAGAAGAAAGAAGACAUGGAAGAGAGAAGAGAAAGCUGAAGAACAAUGUGGGGAAAUGCCAAGACAACCUGAAUCAGCAAAUUUCCAUCUUUCUUUCCAAGAGUCCAGACUGAAAGGAGGGAAAAUAGACAUCAUUAGAGAAUUAGCAUGGAGCAGAUCAUUUAAAUUCUGAUGAUGCUAAGGUCUCCAGAGAAUACAGACUACCAUUAUUCCACAAACCACCUCACACAGAAUCAAAGAUCUUCAUGUGCUGAAUCUGGUCCUGUGUAUUUCCAGGCUGAAAUGGGCCCAGCAGCAAAAGGAAUAAAAAUAUCUUGGACUUAUAUGAUAGUUGUUACUAAGGUGAAAAAAAUGCAAAAUCCCAUUCUGCUUCUAAAAGAAACUGCAAUUUUUCCAUUCCGGAAUUUUUGAGUGGUUUAUUCUGGGAUGAAAGCCAUGAAGAGUAAACAUCACAAGCUAACUGAGAUGAUCAUCUUGUAAUCAAGACACCAUCCAAUUGGGUGGUCUGAAAAUGGAAUGCUGGAUCUUUUAAUAACUUCAUCUUAAUAAAGACAAAGAAUCCCUCCCCUGACGGUAUUAUGUCCUUCAAAAUAAACAUCUUUUGAUCUAUUCAUCAUA